CGCUCUCCUCCGCUUCAGGCUUCGGUGCAGGCUCCUUGGGCGCCUCCUCCUCCGCUUCCGGCUUCGGCGGCGCAUCGACGGCAGCAGCUGGAGGUGCCGCGGCGUCGGUAGGCUUCUCCUCGGUGCCGCCGGCGCUGUACUGCUUCAGGUACACCUCGGCCUUCUCCAUGUACUGCCCCACCGGCUUGUCCUCCAGCUUGGCGUAGGCGGAGGCGGAGUCCAGGAUCUCCGCAGAGGCGCCCGCGACCUUCUUCUUGUCCACGUUCUCCACGCUCUUCUCCUGGAACGCAGACAUGGCGGACUCCGCCACCAACUUGCCGCUCGACAUCAGGUCACCGGAUGACUUCUUGAAA
rnacentral:lncRNA from 1 species